AGGUUACUGCUAUCGAGGUUCGACUAAGCCAUGCGAGUCGAAUGUAGCAAUACAUGGCGUACUGCUCAGUAACACGUGGACAACCUACCCUUAGGACAGGUAUAAACCCGGGAAACUGGGUAUAAUCCCUGAUAGUCCUCGGCUGCUGGAAUGCAUCGAGGACGAAAGCUCCGGCGCCUAAGGAUGGGUCUGCGGCCUAUCAGGUAGUAGUGGGUGUAACGUACCUACUAGCCUACGACGGGUACGGGUUGUGAGAGCAAGAGCCCGGAGAUGGAUUCUGAGACACGAAUCCAGGCCCUACGGGGUGCAGCAGGCGCGAAAACUUUACAAUGCCGGCAACGGCGAUAAGGGGACCUCGAGUGCCAGGUUACAAAUCUGGCUGUCGUGAUGCGGGGGGGGGCAUUGCAUAGCAAGGGCCGGGCAAGACCGGUGCCAGCCGCCGCGGUAACACCGGCGGCUCGAGUGGUAACCGUUAUUAUUGGGUCUAAAGGGUCUGUAGCCGGCCGGAUAAGUCUCUUGGGAAAUCCAGCAGCUUAACUGUUGGGCUUUCAGGAGAUACUGUUCGGCUCGAGGCCGGGAGAGGUGAGAGGUACUUCAGGGGUAGGGGUGAAAUCUUGUAAUCCUUGAAAGGACCACCAGUGGCGAAGGCGUCUCACCAGAACGGACCUGACGGCAAGGGACGAAAGCUAGGGGCACGAACCGGAUUAGAUACCCCGGGUAGUCCUAGCCGUAAACGAUACUCGCUAGGUGUCGGCCACGGUGCGACCGUUGUCGGUGCCGUAGGGAAGCCGUGAAGCGAGCCACCUGGGAAGUACGGCCGCAAGGCUGAAACUUAAAGGAAUUGGCGGGGGAGCACCACAACGGGUGGAGCUUGCGGUUUAAUUGGAUUCAACGCCGGAAAUCUUACCGGGACCGACAGCGAUAUGAAGGCCAGGCUGAAGACUUUGCCGGAUUAGCUGAGAGGUGGUGCAUGGCCGUCGUCAGUUCG
rnacentral:rRNA from 1 species